GAUGAACGCUGGCGGCGUGCCUAAUACAUGCAAGUCGAGCGAACAGACGAGGAGCUUGCUCCUCUGACGUUAGCGGCGGACGGGUGAGUAACACGUGGAUAACCUACCUAUAAGACUGGGAUAACUUCGGGAAACCGGAGCUAAUACCGAAUAAUAUAUUGAACCGCAUGGUUCAAUAGUGAAAGACGGUUUUGCUGUCACUUAUAGAUGGAUCCGCGCCGCAUUAGCUAGUUGGUAAGGUAACGGCUUACCAAGGCAACGAUGCGUAGCCGACCUGAGAGGGUGAUCGGCCACACUGGGACUGAGACACGGUCCAGACUCCUACGGGAGGCAGCAGUAGGGAAUCUUACGCAAUAGGCGAAAGCCUGACGGAGCAACGCCGCGUGAGUGAUGAAGGUCUUCGGAUCGUAAAAAUCUGUUAUUAGGGAAGAACAAAUGUGUAAGUAACGAUGCACGUCUUGACGGUACCUAAUCAGAAAGACACGGCUAACUACGUGC
rnacentral:rRNA from 1 species